UCCUUGCUGGAUAGCUCAGUUGGUAGAGCAUGAGACUCUUAAUCCCAGGGUUGUGGGAUUGGCUACAUUGGGUGAAAGAGUCCUGCAUUGCAGGGGG